UUGAACGCUGGCGGCAUGCCUUACACAUGCAAGUCGAACGGUAACGGGCCUUCGGGUGCCGACGAGUGGCGAACGGGUGAGUAAUACAUCGGAACGUGCCCGAUCGUGGGGGAUAACGAGGCGAAAGCUUUGCUAAUACCGCAUACGAUCUACGGAUGAAAGCAGGGGACCGCAAGGCCUUGCGCGGACGGAGCGGCCGAUGGCAGAUUAGGUAGUUGGUGGGAUAAAAGCUUACCAAGCCGACGAUCUGUAGCUGGUCUGAGAGGAUGAUCAGCCACACUGGGACUGGGACACGGCCCAGACUCCUACGGGAGGCAGCAGUGGGGAAUUUUGGACAAUGGGCGCAAGCCUGAUCCAGCCAUGCCGCGUGCAGGAUGAAGGCCUUCGGGUUGUAAACUGCUUUUGUACGGAACGAAAAGCCUUCUUUUAAUACAGGAGGGUCAUGACGGUACCGUAAGAAUAAGCACCGGCUAACUACGUG
rnacentral:rRNA from 1 species